GCGUCGGUGGUUCAGUGGUAGAAUACUCGCCUGCCACGCGGGUGGCCCAGGUUCGAUUCCUGGCCGACGCA
rnacentral:tRNA from 1 species